AUUGAACGCUGGCGGCAGGCCUAACACAUGCAAGUCGAGCGGAAGAAGGGAGCUUGCUCCUGGAUUCAGCGGCGGACGGGUGAGUAAUGCGUAGGAAUCUGCCUGGUUGUGGGGGAUAACGUCCUGGAACUGGCGCUAAUAACGCAUAGUGCCUGAGGGUGAAAGGGGGGGAUGUUGGAACCUCCCGCGAUCUGAUGAUCCUAGGGCGGUUUAGCUAGUUGGUGGGGUAAAGGCCUACCAAGGCGACGAUCGGUAACUGGUCUGAGAGGAUGAUCAGACACACUGGAACUGAGACACGGCCCAGACUCCUACGGGAGGCAGCAGUGGGGAAUAUUCGACAAUGGGCGAAAGCCUGACCGAGCCACGCCGCGUGUAUGAAGAAGGUCUUAGGAUUGUAAAACCCUUUUAGUUGGGAGGAAGGGCAGUAAGAUAAUACGAUGGUGUUUUGACGUUACCGACAGAAUAAGCACCGGCUAACUUCGUG
rnacentral:rRNA from 1 species